UACGGGGGGGGCAAGCGUUGUCCGGAUUUAUUGGGCGUAAAGAGCGUGUAGGCGGCCAGACAGGUCAGCUGUGAAAACUCGAGGCUCAACCUCGAGACGUCGGUUGAAACCGUCUGGCUAGAGUCCGGAAGAGGAGAGUGGAAUUCCCGGUGUAGCGGUGAAAUGCGCAGAUAUCGGGAAGAACACCCGUGGCGAAGGCGGCUCUCUGGGACGGUACUGACGCUGAGACGCGAAAGCGUGGGGAGCAAACAGG
rnacentral:rRNA from 1 species